ensembl:snRNA
GUGAUGCUUGAAAGGGGGAAAGGUUAGCGCUCCCUGUCACAAGGCUGGAAGAGGCCCUCCGGCCUGCCAGCACUCAGCUCAGUUAAGGCCUUGUCACCCCCUUCAGGGCAUCUAACCAUCGUUUUGU